GUGUGUGUGUGUGUGUGUGUGUGUGUGUGUGUGUGUGUGUGUGUGUGUGUUUGUGUGUGAUCUGUGAAUCUGUGUGAAGGUGAGCCAGGGGUUCUCCUGACUUGAGGGCUGUCUGACUGAUGUGUGAAGGCCCGUGUGUGUACGUGUAGUGCACUGCCUCCACCCCUCUCUUCACUCUCUGUCUGUCCUCUGUGGGGUUUUCCAUUGACUGGUUAGAUCUCCACUGUUGGAUCCAGGCAGGUGUAGAAGUCAGUGAUCUCUGCUGAUCCCUUUAUCUCCAUCUAUCUAUUGGGAGGGAUAAUGAUUUUAACUAAAUGAGAGUCUUGCACUUCCCCACCCUACUAGAUUAGCGGAUCAAUGGAACAGCAUUCGUGUGUUCAUCUGGG